UACGUAGGGUGCGAGCGUUAAUCGGAAUUACUGGGCGUAAAGGGUGCGCAGGCGGUUUUGUAAGUCAGAUGUGAAAUUCCCGGGCUUAACCUGGGAACUGCGUUUGAAAAUACAAGAAUAGAGUGUAGCAGAGGGGGGUGGAAUUCCACGUGUAGCAGUGAAAUGCGUAGAGAUGUGGAGGAACACCAAUGGCGAAGGCAGCCCCCUGGGUUAACACUGACGCUCAGGCACGAAAGCGUGGGGAGCAAACAGGAUUAGAUACCCUGGUAGUCCACGCCCUAAACUAUGUCAACUAGUUGUCGGGCCUUAACGGGUUUGGUAACCUAGCUAACGCAUGAAGUUGACCGCCUGGGUAGUACGGUCGCAAGAUUA
rnacentral:rRNA from 1 species